AUUGUUCGCAAUGGACGAAAGUCUGACGACGCAACGCCGCGUGAAGGAUGAAGGUCUUCGGAUUGUAAACUUCUGUUGGGUGGGAAGAACUGCCUCCGGAUCAAUACCCUGGAGGCUUGACGGUACCACCUGAGGAAGCCCCGGCUAACUCUGUGCCAGCAGCCGCGGUAAUACAGAGGGUGCAAGCGUUGUUCGGAAUCACUGGGCGUAAAGCGCGCGCAGGCGGAUUUGCAAGUCUGAAGUGAAAUCUCGUCGCUCAACGACGAGGCUGCCUUGGAAACUGCAAGUCUGGAGAUCGGUAGAGGCUGGUAGAAUUGCAGGUGUAGCGGUGGAAUGCGUAGAUAUCUGCAAGAAUACCCGUGGCGAAGGCGGCCAGCUGGGCCGAAUCUGACGCUGAGGCGCGAAAGCGUGGGGAGCAAACAGG
rnacentral:rRNA from 1 species